AUGGAACCCUGGCUGAGGAAUGUACUGAUUCUUACUGCAUUUUGUUAUGAAUGCAGAGGAGAAGACUCAGUCAUUCAGCCACCAGGAGAUGUGAUCGCUACUGAGGGAGAACAGGUCACAAUGGAUUGUCAAUUUGAUACUCUAGAUACAAAUCCAUACAUGUUCUGGUACAAGCAGAGAGCUAAUGACUUCCCAAAGUAUAUGCUGAAACGGGCUACUUUUGGAUCAGAUGAUGCCAUUGAAUUCCAGAGUAGAUUCGAUGCCCAUCUCAAUUUAACUACAUUAAAGUCAGCAUCAAAAUCAGUCCCCUUGACGAUCCAGAGGUUGCAGCUGUCUGACUCUGCUGUGUACUACUGUGCUCUGAGGCCCACUGUGAGAACAGGAUAUACAGCCCCCCUACAAAAACGAGUGUAUUCUUGGCACCAGUGUAGAAAAAAUGCAAGCCUUACUUCUGUGGUGGGUGUGAUGUUAGCAGGGAUGUACACCUCACACAGUGACACACAGAAGAACAUUUCAGAGGAGAGAAUGGUAUGUGGAGACAGUGUGACUCCUGACAAGGAGGAGUACACCCCGACUGAGGGAUCAUCAGUGUCUCUGAGAUGUGGCUCCUCCUCCUGA